GAUGAAGAACGUAGCAAAAUGCGAUAAGUAAUCUGAAUUGCAGAAUUCAGUGAAUCAUCGAAUCUUUGAACGCACAUUGCGCCCGCUGGUAUUCCGGCGGGCAUGCCUGUUCGAGCGUCAUUUCAACCCUCAAGCCCCCGGGUUUGGUGUUGGGGAUCGGCUCUGCCCUUCUGGGCGGUGCCGCCCCCGAAAUACAUUGGCGGUCUCGCUGCAGCCUCCAUUGCGUAGUAGCUAACACCUCGCAACUGGAACGCGGCGCGGCCAUGCCGUAAAACCCCAACUUCUGAAUGUUGACCUCGGAUCAGGUAGGAAUACCCGCUGAACUUAAGCAUAUCAAUAAGCGGAGGA
rnacentral:misc_RNA from 1 species